CAAGGGCUAGAAAGAUAGAUAGAAUUGCAACUUACAAUCAAUCAAUACCGCAUAAUCAAUCAAUCUAGGGUAUAAUCCAGAGAAGCAUGAGCACGGGCAUAGAUAGAUCGACAGAAUUGAACCUCAUAAUCAAUCAAUCAAUCUUACACCGCAUAAUCAACCAAUAUAGGGUAUAAUCCAGAAAAGCAUGGGGGCAUACUUAUCAAUCAAUCUAGGGUAUAAUCUAGGGCAUAAUCAAUCAAUUAAUCUGAGCGCAACCUAUGACAGAUAGAUCUAAUUAGUAGGCAAGGGUACAUGAUUCGUAGAGGGGACUUAAGUUGGGGGAUGAGGACGGGGUAGGAGUACCAGGAUGAGGUCGAAGAGCGUGGCCUGGUCGACCUUGACGAACUCGGCGUCCCAGUUCUUGAGGUCCUCUGCGCCGGCGGAGGCGUCGGCGGCAGCGGGUGCGGCGUCAUCUGCGGGCUUGGCGGCGUGGACGUGCUUGUUGCAGUACUCGAUGACCUUGGAGAGGAUCUUGGCGUUGACGUUGGGGAGAGG
rnacentral:lncRNA from 1 species